UGCAAUGACGUGCAAAGAAUGCCCUAAUUCUACAUGACAUAUGCAUAAUGACAUUUUUUGUGUUUUUCCUUUUUUCCCUUUUUUUAAAUUUCGAAAUUAAUAAUUGCCAAAUAAUUAAACAUGCAAUCCAAAUUAAAAAAAAGAACUAGCAACCUAAAUUAAUUGAUUUGAUUUUUUUAUUUUUGAAAAUUCGAAAUAAAAUUCCUAUUAUGAACAUGCAAACCCUAAAACUACAUUUUUUGAUUUUUUUUUUAAAGAAAACUAAUUUAAGUAACACCACAGCAAAUCAAGCCAUAUUGAUUUCCAAAUCGACGAACCAUAUCUCGCGCAUGAGAUCGGGUUGGCCAAUUUCACAUAAAUCACGAAUCGGAUCUCGAGCGGGAGAUCGGAUUGGCAAUUUUUUUAAGUAAUUGCGAGUCGGAUUUCGAGCUUGAAAAUCGGACUGACAAUCACUAGUUGCAAUUU
rnacentral:lncRNA from 1 species